GUUAUAUAGUCAAGCGACUAAGCGCAUACGGUGGAUGCCUUGGCAGUCAGAGGCGAUGAAGGACGUAGAAACCUGCGAUAAGCGUUGGUAAGCUGGUAAACGAGCUUUGACCCAACGAUUUCCGAAUGGGGAAACCCAUCCGUCAUAAGGCGGAUAUCCUGCACUGAAUUCAUAGGUGUAGGAAGCGAACCCGGAGAACUGAAACAUCUAAGUACCCGGAGGAAAAGAAAUCAACCGAGAUUCCCCUAGUAGCGGCGAGCGAACGGGGAUCAGCCGAUGGUUGUUGUGUUAGUGGAAUGCUCUGGAAAGUGCAGCAAUAGAGGGUGAUAGCCCCGUACACGAAGACACAGCGAUCACAUAUUAAGUAGGACGGGACACGUGUUAUCUUGUCUGAAGAUGGGGGGACCAUCCUCCAAGGCUAAAUACUCCUGACUGACCGAUAGUGAACCAGUACCGUGAGGGAAAGGCGAAAAGAACCCCUGUGAGGGGAGUGAAAUAGAUCCUGAAAC
rnacentral:rRNA from 1 species